GAUGAACGCUAGCGGCAGGCUUAAUACAUGCAAGUCGAGCGAGAACGCUCCCUUCGGGGAGUUAUUAAAGCGGCGAACGGGUGCGUAACGCGUACACAACCUACCUUUUAGUGGGGGACAACCUCGGGAAACUGAAGCUAAUACCCCAUAGUAUUGUACUUUCGCAUGUUUGUACAAUUAAAGCUCCGGCGCUAAAAGAUGGGUGUGCGUCCCAUUAGGUAGUUGGUGAGGUAAAGGCUCACCAAGCCGACGAUGGGUAGCGGGUCUGAGAGGAUGAUCCGCCACACGGGCACUGAGACACGGGCCCGACUCCUACGGGAGGCAGCAGUAAGGAAUAUUGGUCAAUGGAGGCAACUCUGAACCAGCCAUGCCGCGUGCAGGAUGACGGUCCUAUGGAUUGUAAACUGCUUUUCUACAGGAAUAAAAUGUCCGAGUUUCUCGGAAACUGAAGGUACUGUAGGAAUAAGCACCGGCUAACUCCG
rnacentral:rRNA from 1 species